rnacentral:misc_RNA from 1 species
UUGGAAUACAUGAGGGGUUGAGCUGGCUUUGCAAGUGCUCACCUUUCUAAUAUCCACAUACACCUGUGCACCUUUAGUGACGCAAGUCACGUAUUUUUAUACACACGCUAUAAGUAAUAGAAUGUCAUCGCGUAUUAUAACGCAUUAUAAA